ensembl:snoRNA
UCCCUCCAGAUCCCUUUCCCAUCAGAUCUGAAUACCGGUCUUGUGGUCAAAAAAGGAGGAAAAGGAAAAUUCAAACUGGUCUUGGCCUUUUUGCUGGUCCAGCCCAGCUCUGAGAGGG